rnacentral:tRNA from 1 species
GAUCCUAUUUAUAUGUUUUGAAAGCAUUUACUAAGAAAUUUCUUUAGGGUCA